UACGGGGGGGGCAAGCGUUGUCCGGAUUUAUUGGGCGUAAAGAGCUCGUAGGUGGUUCGGUAAGUCAGGUGUGAAACCUCCAGGCUCAACCUGGAGACGCCACUUGAUACUGCUGUGACUGGAGUCCGGUAGGGGAGAUCGGAAUUCCUGGUGUAGCGGUGAAAUGCGCAGAUAUCAGGAGGAACACCGGUGGCGAAGGCGGAUCUCUGGGCCUUACCUGACGCUCAGGCACGAAAGCUAGGGGAGCGAACAGG
rnacentral:rRNA from 1 species